CCCUUAGAUGUUCUGGGCCGCACGCGUGCUACACUGAGUGGAUCAGCGGGUCAGGUUGCGCGAAAGCGUUUCCUAAUCUUUAAAUCCGCUCGUGAUGGGGAUUGACGGUUGCAAUUUUCUGUCAUGAACGAGGAAUACCUUGUAAGCGCGGGUCAUCAUCCCGCGCUGAAUACGUCCCUGCCCUUUGUACACACCGCCCGUCGCUCCUACCGAUUGAGUGGUCCGGUGAGGCUUUGGGAUCUGAGCAAAGAGAGCGUUUCGCUCGUUUUGCUCGGAAAACUCAGUCGAACCUUAUCAUUUAGAGGAAGGAGAAGUCGUAACA
rnacentral:rRNA from 1 species